CCUACGGGUGGCAGCAGUGAGGAAUAUUGGUCAAUGGACGAGAGUCUGAACCAGCCAAGUAGCGUGAAGGAUGACUGCCCUAUGGGUUGUAAACUUCUUUUAUAUGGGAAUAAAACGUUCCACGUGUGGGAUUUUGUAUGUACCAUAUGAAUAAGGAUCGGCUAACUCCGUGCCAGCAGCCGCGGUAAUACGGAGGAUCCGAGCGUUAUCCGGAUUUAUUGGGUGUAAAGGGAGCGUAGGUGGAUUGUUAAGUCAGUUGUGAAAGUUUGCGGCUCAACCGUAAAAUUGCAGUUGAAACUGGCAGUCUUGAGUACAGUAGAGGUGAGCGGAAUUCGUGGUGUAGCGGUGAAAUGCUUAGAUAUCACGAAGAACUCCGAUUGCGAAGGCAGUUCACUGGACUGCAACUGACACUGAGGCUCGAAAGUGUGGGUAUCAAACAGGAUUAGAUACCCCGGUAGUC
rnacentral:rRNA from 1 species